rnacentral:rRNA from 1 species
GACGAACGCUGGCGGCGUGCUUAACACAUGCAAGUCGAACGGAAAGGCCCUGCUUUUGUGGGGUGCUCGAGUGGCGAACGGGUGAGUAACACGUGAGUAACCUGCCCUUGACUUUGGGAUAACUUCAGGAAGCUGGGGCUAAUACCGGAUAGGAGCUCCUGCUGCAUGGUGGGGGUUGGAAAGUUUCGGCGGUUGGGGAUGGACUCGCGGCUUAUCAGCUUGUUGGUGGGGUAGUGGCUUACCAAGGCUUUGACGGGUAGCCGGCCUGAGAGGGUGACCGGCCACAUUGGGACUGAGAUACGGCCCAGACUCCUACGGGAGGCAGCAGUGGGGAAUAUUGCACAAUGGGCGGAAGCCUGAUGCAGCAACGCCGCGUGCGGGUUGACGGCCUUCGGGUUGUAAACCGCUUUCGCCUGUGACGAAGCGUGAGUGACGGUAAUGGGUAAAGAAGCACCGGCUAACUACGUG